AUUGAACGCUGGCGGCAGGCCUAACACAUGCAAGUCGAGCGGAUGAAGGGAGCUUGCUCCUGGAUUCAGCGGCGGACGGGUGAGUAAUGCCUAGGAAUCUGCCUGGUAGUGGGGGCUAACGUCCGGAAACGGGCGCUGAUACCGCAUACGUCCAGAGGGAGAAAGUGGGGGAUCUUCGGACCUCACGCUAUCAGAUGAGCCUAGGUCGGAUUAGCUAGUUGGUGGGGUAAAGGCCUACCAAGGCGACGAUCCGUAACUGGUCUGAGAGGAUGAUCAGUCACACUGGAACUGAGACACGGUCCAGACCCCUACGGGAGGCAGCAGUGGGGAAUAUUGGACAAUGGGCGAAAGCCUGAUCCAGCCAUGCCGCGUGUGUGAAGAAGGUCUUCGGAUUGUAAAGCACUUUAAGUGGGGAGGAAGGGCAGUAAGUUAAUACCUUGCUGUUUUGACGGUACCAACAGAAUAAGCACCGGCUAACUUCGUG
rnacentral:rRNA from 1 species